GACGUAGGGGGCCAGCGUUGUUCGGAAUUACUGGGCGUAAAGGGCUCGUAGGCGGCCAACUAAGUCAGACGUGAAAUCCCUCAGCUUAACUGAGGAACUGCGUCUGAUACUGGAUGGCUUGGAUUCGGGAGAGGGAUGCGGAAUUCCAGGUGUAGCGGUGAAAUGCGUAGAUAUCUGGAGGAACACCGGUGGCGAAGGCGGCAUCCUGGACCGAGAUUGACGCUGAUGCGCGAAAGCCAGGGGAGCAAACGGG
rnacentral:rRNA from 1 species